rnacentral:rRNA from 1 species
AACGAACGCUGGCGGCAGGCUUAACACAUGCAAGUCGAACGGUUGUAGCAAUACAGCAGUGGCAGACGGGUGAGUAACACGUGGGAACCUUCCUAGGGGUACGGAACAACUCAGGGAAACUUGAGCUGAUACCGUAUACGUCCGUGAGGAGAAAGAUUUAUCGCCCUUAGACGGGCCCGCGUCGGAUUAGCUAGUUGGUGGGGUAACGGCCUACCAAGGCGACGAUCCGUAGCUGAUCUUAGAGGAUGAUCAGCCACACUGGGACUGAGACACGGCCCAGACUCCCACGGGAGGCAGCAGUGGGGAAUCUUGGACAAUGGGCGCAAGCCUGAUCCAGCCAUGCCGCGUGAGUGAAGAAGGUCUUCGGAUUGUAAAGCUCUUUUACCAGGGACGAUAAUGACGGUACCUGGAGAAUAAGCCCCGGCAAACUUCGUGCCAGCUGCCGCGGUAACAC